GACGAACGCUGGCGGCGUGCUUAACACAUGCAAGUCGAGCGGUAAGGCCUCUUCGGGGGUACACGAGCGGCGAACGGGUGAGUAACACGUGGGUGACCUGCCCUCAGCUUCGGGAUAAGCCCGCGAAAGUGGGUCUAAUACCGGAUAUGACCUUCCGCUGCAUGGUGGGGGGUGGAAAGUUUUUGCGGCUGGGGAUGGGCCCGCGGCCUAUCAGCUUGUUGGUGGGGUGAUGGCCUACCAAGGCGGCGACGGGUAGCCGGCCUGAGAGGGCGACCGGCCACACUGGGACUGAGACACGGCCCAGACUCCUACGGGAGGCAGCAGUGGGGAAUAUUGCGCAAUGGGCGGAAGCCUGACGCAGCGACGCCGCGUGGGGGAUGACGGCCUUCGGGUUGUAAACCUCUUUCGGCCCCGACGAAGCGUGAGUGACGGUAGGGGUAGAAGAAGCACCGGCCAACUACGUGCCAGCAGCCGCCGUAACAC
rnacentral:rRNA from 1 species